UGAAUCUAUUUCCUUUCUCCCCUUUGUUGAGUCUGUCUCGCUAGUCUUCCCAGUUACAUGAAAAACAAUAGAAGAUAGAAAAAGGGAAUAAUGGUAAAAUAAAAACUCUUUCCGAAAAGGGGCCAUUAGUGCUCUUUUUUUGUAAGCUUUUAGGCCUAAUUUUGUCUGUCCUGACGCCUUCUCUUCCUUUGGUCUAACCCUGAAGCUUUCACGGCGAGAUCAAGUUGACAGCAUGCCGAACAUCAUUGGAGAUGCCACCCAAGACUGAAAUGCUAAACCUCAAUAGAGCCAGAUCCCUUAGCUCCGGCCAACCUCAAUCAAGCUAUGUACCGAUGGGAACUCCUGCUCAUAAACGAGUUGUAAUUUUAUUUGUUGAUUUUGGACAACAAUUACACGAAGGACCAAGUGUGGAUAAAUUGCCUGCGAGUUUUGUUGAAGUGUUGUAGAAGCGAGACUGACUGGCUAUAUCUGUCGGCCACAAAGCUUUUAUGCUAGCUGGGAAACAUUGAUUGUGAAUUUGUAAUGGUUGAUACCAGCAUAUUUGCCUACCUCGCAUUUGUUGUAGAGUUGCACGUAUAAAUAGAGAAUCUCAUAUCUGUAUGAAUGGAGAAUCCCACAUCGAUUAGUAAUUACAAGUUUAAGCUGCUUAUAUAUAAAAUGAACGCAAUAGCUUUCGUCUUAUGCUUUUGAGUUAGCGUGGUGUCAUAUUUAAUGUCAAUGUGAUAUUUUUAUUUUACAGUGGGAUUUGGACCAUCUCAAUAAAAUUUUAUUAAAUAACAGUGAAUUUCAGUGAUUAUUUUUUUGAGUUGACAACUUAUUUGUUUUAAUUAAUUAUUAUCAAAUAUUUUUUUAAGAUUUGUCUGUUAUUAUUGUCUAUGAUUUAAAUUAAAUUAUUACAAUAUGGAUCUUAUUGAAUCCAAUCAAGUUAAUAACUUGAUUUUUUCUUUUAUUUUUUACAAAUACUAUCAUCACUUAAAUAUCCAUAAUGUACAUUAAAAAAAUAAAGCCCAUAGCAUAGCACAAUUCACAUAAAUAGUUAAUAACCCUGUAAUAAUGUGUAACAAAAGAAUCUGAGAUAGUAGUUACAUAUUACGUAGUCGCAUAUUAAUUAGUUCCAGUAGUGAUUUUUUUAAUGAAAUAUGGGAAUUUUAUUAAUUAAUAAAUUUAGUAGUGAAGAGUAUGGUUAAAUAGAAGAGGUAAAAUAA